rnacentral:misc_RNA from 1 species
GAUGAAGAACGUAGCGAAAUGAGAUAAGUAAUGUGAAUUGCAGAGUUCAGUGAAUCAUCGAAUCUUUGAACGCACAUUGCGCCCCCUGGUAUUCCGGGGGGCAUGCCUGUCCGAGCGUCAUUGCUGCCCUCAAGCACGGCUUGUGUGUUGGGCCUCCGUCCUCCUCCCGGGGGACGGGCCCGAAAGGCAGCGGCGGCACCGCGUCCGGUCCUCGAGCGUAUGGGGCUUCGUCACCCGCUCUUGUAGGCCCGGCCGGCGCUUGCCGACACAUCAAUCUUUUUUCCAGGUUGACCUCGGAUCAGGUAGGGAUACCCGCUGAACUUAAGCAUAUCAAUAAGCGGAGGA